GAUGAACGCUGGCGGCGUGCCUAAUACAUGCAAGUCGAGCGAACAGACGAGGAGCUUGCUCCUCUGACGUUAGCGGCGGACGGGUGAGUAACACGUGGAUAACCUACCUAUAAGACUGGGAUAACUUCGGGAAACCGGAGCUAAUACCGGAUAAUAUAUUGAACCGCAUGGUUCAAUAGUGAAAGACGGUUUUGCUGUCACUUAUAGAUGGAUCCGCGCCGCAUUAGCUAGUUGGUAAGGUAACGGCUUACCAAGGCAACGAUGCGUAGCCGACCUGAGAGGGUGAUCGGCCACACUGGAACUGAGACACGGUCCAGACUCCUACGGGAGGCAGCAGUAGGGAAUCUUCCGCAAUGGGCGAAAGCCUGACGGAGCAACGCCGCGUGAGUGAUGAAGGUCUUCGGAUCGUAAAACUCUGUUAUUAGGGAAGAACAAAUGUGUAAGUAACUAUGCAUGUCUUGACGGUACCUAAUCAGAAAGCCACGGCUAACUACGU
rnacentral:rRNA from 1 species